UACGUAGGGGGCUAGCGUUGUCCGGAAUCAUUGGGCGUAAAGAGCGUGUAGGCGGCCCGGUAAGUCCGCUGUGAAAGUCAAAGGCUCAACCUUUGAAUGUCAGCGGAUACUGCCGGGCUAGAGUCCGGAAGAGGCGAGUGGAACUCCUGGUGUAGCGAUGGAAUGCGCAGAUAUCAGGAAGAACACCAACGGCGAAGGCAGCUCGCUGGGACGGUACUGACGCUGAGACGCGAAAGCGUGGGGAGCGAACAGG
rnacentral:rRNA from 1 species